rnacentral:rRNA from 1 species
CUACAAAGGAAUUGACGGGACCCGCACAAGCGGUGGAUGAUGUGGUUAAUUCGAUGCAACGCGAAAAACCUUACCCACCUUUGACAUGUACGGAAUCCUUUAGAGAUAGAGGAGUGCUCGAAAGAGAACCGUAACACAGGUGCUGCAUGGCUGUCGUCAGCUCGUGUCGUGAGAUGUUGGGUUAAGUCCCGCAACGAGCGCAACCCUUGUCAUUAGUUGCUACAUUCAGUUGGGCACUCUAAUGAGACUGCCGGUGACAAACCGGAGGAAGGUGGGGAUGACGUCAAGUCCUCAUGGCCCUUAUAGGUGGGGCUACACACGUCAUACAAUGGCCGGUACAGAGGGUAGCCAACCCGCGAGGGGGAGCCAAUCCCACAAAGCCGGUCGUAGUCCGGAUCGCAGUCUGCAACUCGACUGCGUGAAGUCGGAAUCGCUAGUAAUCGCGGAUCAGCAUGUCGCGGUGAAUACGUUCCCGGGUCUU